AAAGUCGUAACAAGGUUUCCGUAGGUGAACCUGCGGAAGGAUCAUUAUUGAUUGCGAAUCGUUGUCUUCAGUGCUGGCCAGCUCUGGCAAGUGCACGUUGGCGGCUUUUCAUCCAAUACCCCCUGUGAACCUUUGGCCUCUUGCUAGCUUUGGCUGGCAGAGGAUUUUUACACCCACUCGAAUGUAAUGAAAUUAUUGUUGUGCGCAAGCACUACUGUACAACUUUCAACAACGGAUCUCUUGGCUCUCGCAUCGAUGAAGAGCGCAGCGAAAUGCGAUAAGUAAUGUGAAUUGCAGAAUUCAGUGAAUCAUCGAAUCUUUGAACGCACCUUGCACCCUUUGGCAUUCCGAAGGGUAUGCUCGUUUGAGUGUCAUUGUACUCUCACACUUCUGAUCCUUUUGGAUUGGGAGCGGUGGACUUGGGUGUUGCUGCUUUACUGCGGCUCACCUCAAAUGCAUUAGUGCAACUCUUGGUUGGACAUAGUACGGCGUGAUAAGUAUCUUCGCCGGCACCUCGCAAGAGGGUGGCUGAUCAGGAGCUCUGUGCUCUCCAACUGUCUUCAGACAACAACUGACAACUUGACCUCAAAUCGAGUAGGACCACCCGCUGAACUUAAGCAUAUCAAUAAGCGGAGGAAAAGAAACUAACAAGGAUUCCCC
rnacentral:rRNA from 1 species